rnacentral:rRNA from 1 species
GUACACGCUGUGACUAGCAUAUCAAUAAGCGGAGGAAAAGAAACUAACAAGGAUUCCCCUAGUAACGGCGAGUGAAGCGAGAAGAGCUCAAAUUUGAAAUCUUAAAGGGUUUCCCUUUACGAAUUGUAGUUUAAAGAAGUGUUUUCUGUUGAGGUUUUGGUAAAAGUUCUUUGGAAUAGGACAUCAUAGAGGGUGAGAAUCCCGUAUUUGACCUUUACUUUCAACUUUGUGAUACACUUUCAAAGAGUCGGAUUGUUUGGGAAUGCAGUCCAAAAUGGGUGGUAAAUUUCAUCUAAAGCUAAAUAUUGGCGAGAGACCGAUAGCGAACAAGUACCGUGAGGGAAAGAUGAAAAGAACUUUGAAAAGAGAGUUAAACAGUACGUGAAAUUGUCAAAAGGGAAGCGUUUGACACCAGUGUUGUUUUUCCGAAAAUCAAUUAAAGAACUGUUUAUGCUAAGUUGUUUAGACUUUAUCAGCUAACUGUUUAGUUUUGAGCUUUUCUUUAAUGCACUUUUCAGUUAACAAGUCAACAUCAAUUUCUUUUGCUGUAAAAAAGCUUGAGGAAGGUGGCUUGAGAUUCGUCUUAAGUGUUUAUAGCCUCUUGCCUAUGCAGUCGGAGAGAUUGAGGUCUGCAGCGUAGAUCCUUCGGGGCUAAAUGCAUUUGUGCUAAGUUAUAGCAUUUUAUAGACAACUUGUUGACUAUGAUUUGUCUUGUAGCUUACUCGCUUAUGUUAUUUUACCUACGCUUAGGAUGUUGAUAUGCAUGACUGAUAU